rnacentral:rRNA from 1 species
GACGAACGCUGGCGGCGUGCUUAACACAUGCAAGUCGAGCGGUAAGGCCCUUUCGGGGGUACACGAGCGGCGAACGGGUGAGUAACACGUGAGCAAUCUGCCCUUCACUUUGGGAUAGCCACCGGAAACGGUGGCUAAUACCGAAUAUGAUCACCGGCCGCACGGUCUGGGGGUGGAAAGUUCCGGCGGUGGAGGAUGAGCUCGCGGCCUAUCAGCUUGUUGGUGGGGUACUGGCCUACCAAGGCGACGACGGGUAGCCGGCCUGGGAGGGUGACCGGCCACACUGGGACUGAGACACGGCCCAGACUCCUACGGGAGGCAGCAGUGGGGAAUAUUGGACAAUGGGCGAAAGCCUGAUCCAGCAACGCCGCGUGAGGGAUGACGGCCUUCGGGUUGUAAACCUCUUUCAGUACCGACGAAGCGCAAGUGACGGUAGGUACAGAAGAAGCACCGGCCAACUACGUGCCAGCAGCCGCAGUAA